rnacentral:piRNA from 1 species
GACAUUGGGGCCCCUCUGACCACCCUGCAGC